UCAGAACCACAUGUUUGUAUUUAUAAACAGAACUACUGGCCCCUUAAAACUCAAAAUAAUCUUCUCACAGAUAACAUCAGCAUCAAAAUGCAUAAUGAGUGGCUGAGGUUAUCUACAUGUAACAUAGUAACAGUUCAGUCAAUCAUUCUGUAGUAACCGCCUACUAUGCACUUGCCGAUGUUAUUAUCUAGGAAAUGGCACAAGAUUCGCCGAGGAAAAAUGUCUAAAUCUAAUACACGUAGAGUUUUCUAACAGUUUGCAAAAUACAUGUGACGGAAUUAACGAGUAAUUUUAACUCAAUAAAUGAUGUUUUAUAUGAUACUACGUUUUGAAUUUACUGGGAGAAGCCAAUAAAAAAGGUUGAUGUUGAACCUUCAUAUAUGGCUACCUGACAGGAUGGGAAAAGAUCUGGUAGACUGGCAAAAGAAGAAUGUGAAUAUCUGACUAUGACGAAUCAUGAACUAUUUUCUCUAAAAGAGGAAUAACGUUAUGCUUAAUUGUUUUACCAUUUGCCAAUUAAAGGACAGAAACAUGUAGAUACUUAAUAAUAUUACAACAAUAUAUUGUUGAGUAAGAUCAAAGCUCAUAUGAAAUAAAUAUAUAUUAAACUUUAUUUCACAUAGACAUGCAAACAUUUUCAUAAAGCGAUCAUUCAUAACAUGUUUUGUUUCAUCUUG